rnacentral:rRNA from 1 species
GACAUAGGUCGCAAACGUUAUCCGGAAUUAUUGGGCGUAAAGGGCUCGUAGGCGGUUUGUCGCGUCGGGAGUGAAAACACCGGGCUUAACUCGGUGCUUGCUUUCGAUACGGGCAGACUAGAGGCAUGCAGGGGAGAACGGAAUUCCUGGUGUAGCGGUGAAAUGACGCAGAGUAUCAGGAGGAACACCGGUGGCGAAGGCGGUUCUCUGGGCAUGUCCUGACGCUGAGGAGCGAAAGUGUGGGAGCGAACAGG